UACAGAGGUCCCCGAGCGUUGUUCGGAUUCACUGGGCGUAAAGGGUGCGUAGGUGGCUUGGAAAGUCUGAUGUGAAAUCUCGGAGCUCAACUCCGGAACGGCAUUGGAUACUACUGAGCUUGAGGUUCGGAGGGGAGACUGGAAUUCUCGGUGUAGCAGUGAAAUGCGUAGAUAUCGAGAGGAACACCGGUGGCGAAGGCGAGUCUCUGGACGGAAUCUGACACUGAGGCACGAAAGCUAGGGGAGCAAACAGGAUUAGAAACCCGAGUAGU
rnacentral:rRNA from 1 species